GCCUGGAUUCGCUUGAGUUAGGGCAUACAAAUAUUUGGGCAGAAGAAGGAACGAAUCAUCAAUUCGACCGUAUAUCUUCUCUAAGCUGAGAUUUCUUGCAUGCAGCGCGACAUCAUAUUUGAUUCUGACGCCAAAUUCACGUAACAACUCCGACAUAAUAGAUUUCGGCUUAAUGACCUCUCCGUCAUCGCGUAUUCUUUUUUCCACAUAAGCUGCAACCACAUUCGAAUGUGCCUUUAUUCGUUUCAAAAUGCCCAACUCCCCUUCGCAAGAGUGCUCUUUAAACUUAUGCACUCCCCACAUCCCUCCGCCGUGACAAGAUGCACGCACAUCGAACUUGCACUUAUCAG
rnacentral:lncRNA from 1 species